UUACUUACCAGACAGGGGCGAUACCAUGAUCGUAAAUGAGCGAGACUCGACCAUUGCACUUUGGUUGUGCUGACCCUUCUCGCCCAAAUGCGAGAAUCUCGACUGCAAAAUUUCUGGUAGAGGGGGGACUGCAUUCAUUCUCUGUCUUG
ensembl:snRNA U1 U1 spliceosomal RNA